rnacentral:misc_RNA from 1 species
AAUUUGUAUGAUGGAGAAAGGAAUUGUAAGAUCAAAACUGUUCCUAGACCACACCGAACAUAAUUCUUCACAAAAUUAAAUACCAAUCCUCCAAAACAGAAUAUUCAAAACACCAUAACAAUCCCCAUCCAAUUUGCCUGUGGUUUUCCAUGCAAGACGAGUACCUGAUACUACCUCCAAACCAAAGAACAAUAUUUCAUUUUCUAAUACAUUGACUGUGAAAGUCCAUUCUUAG